UACGAAAGGGGCUAGCGUUGUUCGGAAUUACUGGGCGUAAAGCGCACGUAGGCGGCCAUGUAAGUUGGGGGUGAAAUCCCGGGGCUCAACCCCGGAACUGCCUUCAAAACUACAUAGCUAGAGGAUGUGAGGGGAUAGUGGAAUUCCGAGUGUAGAGGUGAAAUUCGUAGAUAUUCGGAAGAACACCGGUGGCGAAGGCGACUGUCUGGCACAUUUCUGACGCUUAGGUGCAAAAGCGUGGGGAGCAAACAGG
rnacentral:rRNA from 1 species